ACUUUUAUUGGACAGCAGCCGUCCGA
rnacentral:tRNA from 1 species